CCGAGAGGAGAAGAAUCCGGACCACCGGCUAAGGUCCCGAAAUGACAGCUAAGUUAAACUAACGAAGUCUGAUUGCUAUGACAGCUAGGAUGUUGGCUUGGAAGCAGCCAUUCAUUUAAAGAGUGCGUAACAGCUCACUAGUCGAGGAAUCGGGCGUGGAUAAUAAUCGGGUAUAAGUUGUCUACCGAAGCCGUGGGAUACAUAAGUAUCGGUAGGGGAGCAUUCCAUUCAGCGUUGAAGGCGUACCGUGAGGUAUUCUGGAGCGUAUGGAAAAGCAAAUGUAGGUAUAAGUAACGAUAAAGGGGGUGAGAAACCCCCUCGCCGAAAGACUAAGGUUUCCUGAUCAACGCUAAUCGGAUCAGGGUAAGUCGGGUCCUAAGGCUCAGCCGAACGGCGAGGCCGAUGGCAGAAACGGUUAAUAUUCCGUUACUACCCUUGAGGGUGACGUGGGGACGCAGUAGUGACACCGCCGCCGGCUGACGGAAUAGCCGGUUAAAUGUUGUAGGCGUAGAUCAUCGCAGGCAAAUCCGUGAUGAGAGCCGAAAGCAGAUAGUACACCACUUCCUUCGGGAAACGGUGAUAGCGCGGGUAAUCAGACUGCCGAGAAAAUCCGCUAAACAUAACUUCAUGGGUACCCGUACCGCAAACGGACACACGUAGUCGGGUUGAAUAUACUAAGGCGCUUGAGUGAUUCACGGUUAAGGAACUAGGCAAACUGACCCUGUAACUUCGGGAUAAAGGGUCCCUCCUCGCAAGAGAGGGCGCAGAGAAUCGGUCCAGGCAACUGUUUAACAAAAACACAGGGCUGUGCUAAUAUGAAAGUAGACGUAUACAGCCUGACACCUGCCCGGUGCCGGAAGGUUAAGAGGAGAUGUCAUCGCAAGAGAAGCAUUGAAUUGAAGCCCCGGUAAACGGCGGCCGUAACUAUAACGGUCCUAAGGUAGCGAAAUUCCUUGUCGGGUAAGUUCCGACCUGCACGAAUGGUGUAAUGAUCUGGA
rnacentral:rRNA from 1 species